GAGUAGCCCGUACGAGGCGGGGACCUGGCCUUGCCGCAAUGCCCAAGUACUACGAGGAUAAGGAGGAGGACGGGCGGGCCUGUGGGGGAGUCAGGGAGGACCUGCGGCAGUGCCUGCUGGAGAGUCCCUGCGUCCUGCAGGAAAACAAAAGUCCUAAACAAUGUUUGAUGGAAGGACACUGUAGGAGUUUGCAAAUGACAUUUUUUGCAUGCAAAAGAUCAAUGUUGGAUGCCAGGGCAAGAUUCAGAGGAAGGAAGGGAUACUGAAAUCCUUGUGAAGAGACCCAGACAUGGGAAAUUGGGGUCCAUCGUUUCGUUUUAAGGAAAGCAGGGAAGAUUGUAUCUGCUGCAUCCCGCCAUGCAGUAUUUUUGUGGAAAUUACCUGCUCCUGACUAUUCCAAUAGAUUGAUCUGGACCCAUAUUUAGAUGUUAAAAAGAAAGCAAGCUUAAACCUGCAAGGUCUGGUCAAAAUGGGUACUUGUCAUGCAUUGGUAAUAAAAUUGUAGACUCCAGAAGAAGAUGCAGAAGUGAUUAUUCUGUUUCAAAGUGAAGUUGUCUUUUGUGAUUUUACUAAUUCUGAUGAUAUUUUACCACUAUAAGUUGUAGGAGAUCUGGAGCUGGGAGUUCCCUUGACUGGUAUCCAAGAGGAUACCUCAGGAUAGAGCUGUCUGUGGAAAUGACAAGUUCACCGAGGUUGUGAAAUGUAUGUACAAGCUGCUUCCUCCCCAGAAGGUAUCUUCAGAAAAUUAUGAACCACUUGUUUCUCUAACAACUCUCUGAAGGAAGAAAAUUCUAUAAACAGAGCAGCUUCUGGAAGUGGACUCUGCUUUCUUGUCAGGAUUUACAUUAGGCUGAUUAAUCAUACCCUUAAACAUUAAAAGGAGAAGAAGCAACAAACUUAAGUAUUUUAGUAUCUGCUUCAUGAUGUCAACAGCAGGUGAUACAUUUCAAGUAAUAAUGUAUUUUUGUAGAUAAACAUUGAAAUUAUUUUUCCCCUCAAGCUGGUAUUUUUCUGUCUUGGUGAACGCUCUUAUGUACCAUAUUCUUCCUUUCUGUAUAGGUACUAAUGGACUGAAGGGUAAUGGAAGGGACUGAUUGUUUAAGAUUUUU